UGCGGGUACAGGAAAAUAGGUUGGCAUGGCCAUUGGUAUAUAGGCAGGCAGGUAGACUUUGCCCUAAUCCGUUACGGUACGCUAGACCACUAUUUCUUCUGCAACUUCUUUUAGGAUAAUACGUUUCUGUGGACCAUCGUUCUGAACCCCACCCCCGGUCAAGUCUCUGAACCUUCUCCGUAGGCCCCGAAGGGCCCGUAGGAGCUUGGCUGCGGAUUGUCCAUUGUCACAUCACUCGCGUUUUUCCGAUACCCGAGGCUAUUAACCUGGCCACCAGCGUCUUUCGACAACCGGCUUCGGAGCGAAUGCUUUAGGAGUUUCCCGCAAUAAGAGGGUGUCGCCUCCGGAGAGACUAGCACUUAGUUCGGCCGAGGCCAGGGACAACCAUUAACCCUUUCGGGCUGCUUUUAGGAGCAGAGUUACUGCGGAGUUUACCCCUGGUGGUGCCCUUCCGUCAAUUUCUUUAAGUUUCAGCCUUGCGACCAUACUCCCCCUGGAGCCCAAGCACUUUGAUUUCUCGUAAGGUGCCGAACGAGUCAAAAAAUAACAUCGUCCGAUCCCUAGUCGGCAUAGUUUAUGGUUAAGACUAGGGAAAGGUAUCUGAUC
rnacentral:rRNA from 1 species